GUGGACGCCAGUCUGCGUGGAGCCGACCUUGAAAUACCACCCUUUAAUGUUUGAUGUUCUAACGUGGACCCGUGAUCCGGGUUGCGGACAGUGUCUGGUGGGUAGUUUGACUGGGGCGGUCUCCUCCUAAAGAGUAACGGAGGAGCACGAAGGUUGGCUAAUCCUGGUCGGACAUCAGGAGGUUAGUGCAAUGGCAUAAGCCAGCUUGACUGCGAGCGUGACGGCGCGAGCAGGUGCGAAAGCAGGUCAUAGUGAUCCGGUGGUUCUGAAUGGAAGGGCCAUCGCUCAACGGAUAAAAGGUACUCCGGGGAUAACAGGCUGAUACCGCCCAAGAGUUCAUAUCGACGGCGGUGUUUGGCACCUCGAUGUCGGCUCAUCACAUCCUGGGGCUGAAGUAGGUCCCAAGGGUAUGGCUGUUCGCCAUUUAAAGUGGUACGCGAGCUGGGUUUAGAACGUCGUGAGACAGUUCGGUCCCUAUCUGCCGUGGGCGCUGGAGAACUGAGGGGGGCUGCUCCUAGUACGAGAGGACCGGAGUGGACGCAUCACUGGUGUUCGGGUUGUCAUGCCAAUGGCACUGCCCGGUAGCUAAAUGCGGAAGAGAUAAGUGCUGAAAGCAUCUAAGCACGAAACUUGCCCCGAGAUGAGUUCUCCCUGAGACUUAGAGUCUCCUGAAGGAACGUUGAAGACGACGACGUUGAUAGGCCGGGUGUGUAAGCGCAGCGAUGCGUUGAGCUAACCGGU
rnacentral:rRNA from 1 species